CAGCAGCCGCGGGAAUACGGAGGGUGCAAGCGUUAAUCGGAAUUACUGGGCGUAAAGCGUGCGUAGGCGGUUCGUUAAGUCUGUUGUGAAAGCCCCGGGCUCAACCUGGUAAUGGCAAUGGAUACUGGCGAGCUAGAGUGUGUCAGAGGAUGGUGGAAUUCCCGGUGUAGCGGUGAAAUGCGUAGAGAUCGGGAGGAACAUCAGUGGCGAAGGCGGCCAUCUGGGACAACACUGACGCUGAGGCACGAAAGCGUGGGGAGCAAACAGGAUUAGAUACCCGCGUAGUCCCUGUCUCUUAUAC
rnacentral:rRNA from 1 species